UACGUAGGGUGCAAGCGUUGUCCGGAUUUACUGGGCGUAAAGAGCGUGUAGGCGGCCAUACAGGUCCGUUGUGAAAACUGGAGGCUCAACUUCCAGACGUCGACGGAAACCGUGUGGCUAGAGUCCGGAAGAGGAGAGUGGAAUUCCUGGUGUAGCGGUGAAAUGCGCAGAUAUCAGGAAGAACACCAAUGGCGAAGGCAGCUCUCUGGGACGGUACUGACGCUGAGACGCGAAAGCGUGGGGAGCGAACAGG
rnacentral:rRNA from 1 species